rnacentral:lncRNA from 1 species
GUUUAGCUUACCAUAAGUUGAACCGGCGAUUAAUCACCCAGUAGAGAAAUAUUGACUGACUUAAAACUGCUAUUAUUUGCUGAAAGAAAGACCUAUUUUCAAAAAUGUUCGGCGUACUUUCAAGAAGAAUGCUCACUCGUGCAGCUGGAGCCGCUCGCAUGAACGCAAGGAGGAACAUGGCUCAUAUCUAUUCAGAGAUGCCUAAAAAAGAAAGUGGUAAUCUCUACUUGGCAGGAAGCAUUGCUUUUUUGAUUGGUUCUGCUGCAAUGGUACAAUUGAAUGGACUCGUCACAUGGGGAAGUUCACCAGACAUGAAUGCUGCCCUGAAGAAGUAGACCAUAAAAACAAGAUGUUGAUUGUUCAGAGUUUCUCCCCAUAUUUUCAAGG